rnacentral:rRNA from 1 species
GACGAACGCUGGCGGCGUGCCUAAUACAUGCAAGUCGAACGCUUCUUUUUCCACCGGAGCUUGCUCCACCGGAAAAAGAGGAGUGGCGAACGGGUGAGUAACACGUGGGUAACCUGCCCAUCAGAAGGGGAUAACACUUGGAAACAGGUGCUAAUACCGUAUAACAAUCGAAACCGCAUGGUUUUGAUUUGAAAGGCGCUUUCGGGUGUCGCUGAUGGAUGGACCCGCGGUGCAUUAGCUAGUUGGGGAGGUAACGGCUCACCAAGGCCACGAUGCAUAGCCGACCUGAGAGGGUGAUCGGCCACAUUGGGACUGAGACACGGCCCAAACUCCUACGGGAGGCAGCAGUAGGGAAUCUUUGGCAAUGGACGAAAGUCUGACCGAGCAACGCCGCGUGAGUGAAGAAGGUUUUCGGAUCGUAAAACUCUGUUGUUAGAGAAGAACAAGGAUGAGAGUAACUGUUCAUCCCUUGACGGUAUCUAACCAGAAAGCCACGGCUAACUACGUGCCAGCCGCCGCAGUAA